rnacentral:rRNA from 1 species
AAACCAGCACCUCAAGUGGUCAGGAGGAUUAUUGGGCCUAAAGCAUCCGUAGCCUGCUGCAUAAGUUUUCGGUUAAAUCCAUACGCUCAACGUAUGGGCUGCCGGGAAUACUGUGCAGCUAGGGAGUGGGAGAGGUAGACGGUACUCGGUAGGAAGGGGUAAAAUCCUUUGAUCUAUUGAUGACCACCUGUGGCGAAGGCGGUCUACCAGAACACGUUCGACGGUGAGGGAUGAAAGCUGGGGGAGCAAACCGGAUUAGAAACCCGUGUAGUCC